rnacentral:sRNA from 1 species
AGCUCCAGGAGGCUGGGAGUGGAAGCGCAGCGGCAGAAGGAGAGGGAGAGAGAAAGAGAGAGAGGCUAAUUAAAAAAGGAUACUCCUAGGGAAGAGAGCAAGGGCGGUGCGCCGCCAAGGACCAACUAGCGGCGGAGCUUCGAUCUUGCCUAGGCGCGGAGAGCUCCCAACCUGGGCUGGAACCUUGCCCAGCACAGGUGGCUGCUACACCCCAUGUAAAAAGCAGAAAAUAAAAUGAAGAUUUUCCAGCGCAAGAUGCGGUACUGGUUGCUUCCACCUUUUUUGGCAAUUGUUUAUUUCUGCACCAUCGUCCAAGGUCAAGUGGCUCCACCCACAAGGUUAAGAUAUAAUGUAAUAUCUCAUGACAGUAUACAGAUUUCAUGGAAGGCUCCAAGAGGGAAAUUUGGUGGUUACAAACUUCUUGUGACUCCAACUUCAGGUGGAAAAACUAACCAGCUGAAUCUGCAGAACACUGCAACUAAAGCAAUUAUUCAAGGCCUUAUGCCAGACCAGAAUUACACAGUUCAAAUUAUUGCAUACAAUAAAGAUAAAGAAAGCAAGCCAGCUCAAGGCCAAUUCAGAAUUAAAGAUUUAGAAAAAAGAAAGGAUCCGAAGCCCAGAGUCAAAGUUGUGGACAGAGGAAAUGGGAGUAGACCAUCUUCACCAGAAGAAGUGAAAUUUGUCUGUCAAACUCCAGCAAUUGCUGACAUUGUAAUCCUGGUUGAUGGUUCAUGGAGUAUUGGAAGAUUCAACUUCAGACUGGUUCGGCUUUUCUUGGAAAACCUGGUUACAGCAUUUGAUGUGGGCUCAGAGAAGACACGAAUUGGUCUUGCACAGUAUAGUGGCGACCCCAGAAUAGAAUGGCACUUGAAUGCAUUUAGCACAAAAGAUGAAGUGAUUGAAGCUGUCCGAAACCUCCCAUAUAAAGGAGGAAAUACACUAACAGGUCUUGCUUUGAACUACAUUUUUGAAAAUAGCUUCAAACCAGAAGCAGGAUCAAGGACUGGAGUAUCCAAAAUUGGCAUUUUAAUCACAGAUGGAAAAUCCCAAGAUGACAUUAUUCCACCAUCUAGAAAUCUUCGUGAGUCUGGUGUAGAACUGUUUGCCAUAGGGGUGAAAAACGCGGAUGUGAAUGAGCUGCAGGAGAUCGCCUCCGAACCAGACAGCACUCAUGUGUACAAUGUUGCCGAAUUCGAUCUGAUGCACACAGUUGUGGAGAGUCUGACCAGGACUCUCUGCUCUAGAGUGGAAGAACAGGACAGAGAAAUUAAAGCCUCAGCCCAUGCCAUCACUGGGCCGCCUACGGAGUUGAUUACUUCUGAAGUCACUGCCAGAAGCUUUAUGGUUAACUGGACUCAUGCCCCAGGAAAUGUGGAAAAAUACAGAGUUGUGUAUUAUCCUACCAGGGGUGGAAAACCAGACGAGGUGGUGGUAGAUGGAACUGUAUCUUCCACAGUGUUGAAAAACUUGAUGUCUUUAACUGAAUAUCAGAUAGCAGUCUUUGCAAUCUAUGCCCACACUGCUAGUGAAGGCCUACGGGGAACUGAAACUACACUUGCUUUACCCAUGGCUUCUGACCUUCUACUGUACGACGUGACUGAGAACAGCAUGCGAGUCAAAUGGGAUGCAGUGCCUGGGGCCUCAGGUUACCUGAUCCUUUAUGCUCCUCUAACAGAGGGCCUGGCUGGGGAUGAAAAAGAGAUGAAAAUUGGAGAGACCCACACAGAUAUUGAAUUGAGUGGGUUGUUGCCCAAUACAGAAUACACAGUCACAGUUUAUGCCAUGUUUGGAGAAGAGGCCAGUGAUCCUGUUACGGGACAAGAAACAACAUUGGCUUUAAGUCCACCAAGAAACCUGAGAAUCUCCAAUGUUGGCUCUAACAGUGCUCGAUUAACCUGGGACCCAACUUCAAGACAGAUCAAUGGUUAUCGAAUUGUAUAUAACAAUGCAGAUGGGACUGAAAUCAAUGAGGUUGAAGUCGAUCCUAUUACUACCUUCCCUCUGAAGGGCUUGACACCUCUCACAGAGUAUACUAUUGCUAUUUUCUCCAUCUAUGAUGAAGGACAGUCAGAGCCUCUGACUGGAGUUUUUACCACCGAGGAAGUUCCAGCCCAGCAAUACUUAGAAAUUGAUGAGGUGACGACAGACAGUUUUAGGGUGACCUGGCAUCCCCUCUCAGCUGAUGAAGGGCUACACAAAUUGAUGUGGAUUCCAGUCUAUGGGGGGAAGACUGAGGAGGUUGUCCUGAAAGAAGAGCAGGACUCACAUGUUAUUGAAGGCCUGGAGCCCGGUACGGAGUAUGAAGUUUCACUAUUGGCCGUACUUGAUGAUGGAAGCGAGAGUGAGGUGGUGACUGCUGUCGGGACCACACUUGACAGUUUUUGGACAGAACCAGCUACAACCAUAGUGCCUACCACAUCUGUGACUUCAGUUUUCCAGACGGGAAUCAGAAACCUAGUUGUAGGUGAUGAAACUACUUCUAGCCUGCGGGUAAAAUGGGACAUUUCUGACAGCGAUGUGCAACAGUUUAGGGUGACCUACAUGACAGCUCAAGGGGACCCUGAGGAAGAAGUCAUAGGAACGGUUAUGGUGCCUGGAAGCCAGAACAACCUCCUUCUGAAGCCUCUGCUUCCUGAUACUGAAUACAAAGUCACAGUGACUCCCAUCUACACGGAUGGCGAAGGCGUCAGCGUCUCCGCUCCUGGAAAAACCUUGCCAUCCUCGGGGCCCCAGAACUUGCGGGUGUCCGAGGAAUGGUAUAACCGGUUGCGCAUUACGUGGGACCCCCCAUCUUCCCCGGUGAAAGGCUAUAGAAUUGUCUACAAACCUGUCAGUGUUCCUGGUCCAACACUGGAAACGUUUGUGGGAGCUGACAUUAACACCAUCCUUAUCACAAACCUCCUCAGUGGAAUGGACUACAAUGUGAAGAUAUUUGCCUCCCAGGCCUCAGGCUUCAGCGACGCCCUGACAGGCAUGGUGAAAACAUUGUUCUUGGGUGUUACCAAUCUCCAAGCCAAACACAUUGAAAUGACCAGCUUGUGUGCCCACUGGCAGGUACAUCGCCAUGCCACAGCCUAUAGGGUUGUUAUAGAAUCCCUCCAGGAUAGGCAAAAGCAAGAAUCCACUGUGGGUGGAGGGACAACCAGGCAUUGCUUCUAUGGACUUCAGCCUGAUUCUGAAUAUAAAAUCAGUGUUUAUACAAAGCUCCAGGAGAUUGAAGGACCUAGUGUGAGCAUAAUGGAAAAAACACAAUCACUUCCUACACGACCACCAACUUUUCCUCCAACCAUUCCACCAGCAAAAGAAGUAUGUAAGGCGGCCAAGGCUGACCUGGUAUUUAUGGUGGAUGGAUCCUGGAGCAUUGGAGAUGAAAAUUUCAAUAAGAUCAUCAGCUUUCUAUACAGCACUGUUGGAGCCCUGCACAAGAUUGGCACAGAUGGAACCCAACACUAUUCACAGUAACAAACAUGGAAUGCCCAUCAAUGGUGGACUGCGUAAAGAAAAUGUGGUGAACAUACAGCAAGAAAUACUACGCAGCCAUAAAAAAGAACAAAAUCAUGUUCUUUGCAGCGACACGGGUGCCUCUGGAAGCCAUUAUCUUGUGCAAAUUAACACAGAAACAUGAAACCAAAUACUGCAUGCUCUCACUUAGAAGUGGGAGCUAAACAUCUAGUACACAUGGACGUAAAGACGGGAACAAUAGACACUAGGGAAAGAUGGGAACAAUAGACACUAGGGGCUACUAGUAGGGGGAUAAUAGAAGGAGGCUGAAGGUUGAAAAACUGCCUAUUGGGUACUAUGCUCACUACCUGGGGGACAGAAUCAUUUGUACACCACGUCUCAGUGACAUGCCG